UACAUGGGGUGCAAACGUUGCUCGGAAUUAUUGGGCGUAAAGCGCGCGUAGGCGGUUAUCUAAGUCGGAUGUGAAAGCCCUCGGCUUAACUGAGGAAGUGCACCCGAAACUGGAUAGCUAGAGUACGAAAGAGGGUCGCGGAAUUCCCGGUGUAGAGGUGAAAUUCGUAGAUAUUGGGAAGAACACCAGUGGCGAAGGCGGCUACCUGGUCCGGAUCUGACGCUGAGGCGCGAAAGCGUGGGGAGCAAACAGG
rnacentral:rRNA from 1 species